CCCAGGACACAAAAUGGCGUCGCGCAGUGAGUGUUGCAAUGAGGCGUAGAUAGAAACGUCAACCCAUGCGUCAACCCAGUGCGGGACAGAGGAUGAACGUGUAAUAGUGAUAGUUUAUCGGGAUUCAGCUUCACUGGACGUCACUUUAUGAACAAAAUGAGCAAAGUAUGGACAACUCCUCAUAUUUACUCUCUAAUUCCGGGGCUGUUAAUCUGCCUAAGUCAGGCCUAUGCGUCUAACAAACAUGUGGUUGUUUUGUCGAGCGACGGUCCUGUUGUGUUAGGUGGCACAAUUACAAUGAGAGCUGAUCUGUACAUGCGUGAUGGCAGUAGGCCAUCCGGUGUAUUCAUAUAUAGUUGGCAGGACUCUUCACCUAGGCAGCAUGAGUAUAAGACAGAGGCAACAACAAAUACAACUUCAUUUUGGGAAAUUUCAUACCCUGCACAUGAAUAUAACGCGGGGACCUACAGGAUUGAUGUAACUGUUGAGGAAAGGUUUUUGCUUAUAUACUGGUCAGACUUUGGAAAUAAUUCCACAGAGAUAGAAGUAACUGAUUUUCUUAAUGGCAACAUGACUCUACAUCAACCAAAUAGAACAGUGGUAAACGAUUGUGUAUCUUCAAAAUCUGAUACCAAGAUACAGAUUGAUCUACGAAAAGGAGACUAUGACUAUAUAGCUCACAAAGCAACAUCGAUAUCGACAUUCUGGUUUGUGGAUUGCAAAUUCUUUGGACAAUCACCCAAUUUCACCUUUACUUAUAACUUUACGGAACCCGAUAAAACACAUGUCGUCGAGGCUUUAAUUGUUGCUUCUUACGAGCCGCCUGUAACAACGACUACACUUGCUCCGACAACUGUUGCACCACCCACAACCACUUUGAAUCCAAAUACCAGUACGAUAAUGCCAAAUGUAUCUACGACGAAGCCGCCCAUUACCGUAAUAACACCUGCAACAGUGGUUACGGAAUCAAAUACCAACCCUACUGUUGCACCUCUUGCAAAUCAUUCUUUUCCAUUCGUGUGCCUAAACUCUUCGAUAAUAUCGCCGGAUCCUAAUAAGACUUACGGGUACUUUACAAAGGUGAUAAAAGUCAAAGCUCCCAUUUCAAACUUGACUGUUGAUGGUACGAGCUGGCUUCAACCUUGGGAGAUGGUUUCUCGAAAUGUGAGCUGUAAAGGGUCGGGGCCUUUCCAUAAAUGCUUGUUUUUCCAUCGUGGUACUUACAACAUAACUGGUAACGAGACCUGCGGGGAAAGUGACCAGUUAGAAUCCUGCAAGUUUGCCAUAGUUCGCUAUUUUCUUGAACCCGGUUUAUACACAAUCGUUGUUGUACUGGAAAAUGAUGUUAGUAAACAAAUUCAGCCGCUACUUAUCACGGUAUACUCAGCUACGAAAAAGCCGCAACUAUCGGUGAUCAUAGUACCCGUAUCAUGCUCGUUGGCAGCUGUCAUAUUGAUCGUAUUUGGUGUAGCAUACUACAUACAAAGUAGAGUGCGCUUCACGGUGGAAGUCGCUGACUUUGAUUUUGGUCAGAACAAUCCAGAGAUGGAAUACAAAACCUUUAGGGAGAGAUUACGGGACUCGUUCAACAACACCCUGAGACCGGGAGGGGAUAGAAUAAGUGUACGACCUCCGUAUUAUGGCAGCAUGAACCACUGAUCAUUUCAAUUCCAAGUAUUUAAUGCAACUGAGCGAACAAACCGACCGCAACUUCUUAUACCAUUAUGGGUACGAGCCACUGAAUAAACCGCUUCUUAAGUAACGGUGUUACAAAAACUAAACUUCCAAAUCCGACAGACACACGAAAAAAAAGACUCUGUAACGCGAAACGUUAUCGUUAUAUAUUUAAAAAAACAAUGGAAGAAUCAAGGCCACGGCUUAAGAACCGAGAAAGUAUAACAAAAGUUAAAUUACCGGUGAUUUGAUCUCACAAUGAUAUAAUUGAAAAACGAUAUCGCCCCAAAUCAUUAAUCUCCGAAUUCGCACAAAAUAUAACCGUCGAAAUUCUGUCGAAAUUACGAGCUGAUAUUCAAAUUGAGUCGUUGAAUUGCUCAAAAAUAAAAGUAUUAAUCAGAUGCCAUGAACUAGGCUGACUAGUGUUCGAUCGCUGUUUUGGUCAAAAUUUUAUUCCAAUAUUUUGUUUACUGUCUGAGGUGCUCAUGCCACUGCCUUUCCGAGGAGAAAAGUCACCGAAAUGUGCGGGACGAAAUAAGGAUUUUGAAACAAAAUUUCACUCUCCAAUUCUCAAUCGAAUGAAACAGAGUAGCUAAUUGAGCAAAAUCUAAGCUCAAGCUGUUAAAAUUUGAAACUUUAUGAACAAAAAAGUCGCUCUCCCCCAAUAACAAGAAGACAGAAAAAAAAAAUUAAACUAAGCAUCUAUUACGUAAGUAAUCAUUCUCAAAUUGUACAUAGAAAAAGUUAUCUAGGCUGUGAAUCGAUGCGCCACCAUUAAUGUUAAAGAUAUGAAAUAUACGAUGUAUAAAUACGAUUUUUUUUUAUUACAUGCUCUUUAUCCUCAUUAAAUUUUUUCUUUAGCCUUUGGCUCACGUACGAACGAGCUUUUUGUUAUCGUAUGCCUGUGAAUAGUAUUCAAGUAUCAUACAGGUGUGUAUACUCCGUAUGAAAACACAGAUACGUGAAUAAUAAAUAAAAAUUAUCAUUACCCGUAUAUACUUAUAUUAAGAUUUAAGAAAUUAACGAAUUAUGCUUACUGGAAUGAUAAGUACAUUAAUCGUAUGUGGGUGCCGGAUUUCUGAUAUUAUACGUAAGGUGAACAGGAAUCAUAUUCAACUACAAGCAUACCCAUACUUCUAUAAAAUGUUAUACCGUAAGAAAAAAAAUAAAUAAUGUUGUGUAAA
rnacentral:misc_RNA from 1 species